AAGAAUAUACUUCAGGGAUCAUUUCUACAGUUCAUUACUAGAGAAGUUUCUCUGUUUCUGUAGAGCACCCGAAACCAUGAGAGGAGCCAGAGAAUCAUCUCCUGAGCAUGAAACCUGCUCUAGAUGUUGCCUUUUACCAUUGAUGAUCAUUCUUCUCUUCCCUAGGAAAGGAAGAGGAUGCAGUCUGAGUGU
rnacentral:snoRNA from 1 species